rnacentral:rRNA from 1 species
GUGCCAGCAGCCGCGGUAAUACGUAGGGUGCUAGAGUUGUCCGGAUUUACUGGGUGUAAAGGGUGCUCAGGUGGGUUUGUAAGUCAGAGGUGAAAUCCCAAAGCUUAACUUUGGAGCUGCCUUUGAUACUGCAAGUCUGGAGUUUGAGAGAGGGCAAUGGAAUAUCUGGUGUAGCAGUGAAAUGCGUAGAUAUCAGAUAGAACACCAAUGGCGAAGGCAGUUGCCUGGCUCAAAACUGACGCUAAAGCACGAAAGUGUGGGGAGCAAACAGGAUUAGAUACCCUGGUAGUCC